rnacentral:lncRNA from 1 species
GAGUAUCCAAGCAGGUGCUGAACACAUGCUAACAAUGUGGAAAGACAUACGUUGAGAUAUGAGAAGGGGGUAGUGAACAUGCUAAGUCAGGGUAGUCAUACAAAUUGACAAGUACAUGCUAGUGACAAUAAGAACAACAGAACCAUAAAUAAAAGCACACAAGAAACAAGAUGAAGUGCAAAACUAAUAGAAACAUAUUGUUUUGGAGGCUGUAACUUAAAUAGUAAACAUACUAGUUGAAGCUAAUGUAACACAGAAUAGUUGUGAGCAAUGAUGCACAAAGAAAAGAAGUAGUGUGCAGAGAAGUGAGCAGCAUGCAAACCAAAGCAAACAAUACAGUAGAGCCCAAGUAAUAGAGUAAAACAGCCAAGAUUACUCAAUCUUGGCUUUCAGCCGAUAGAGUAGCUACUAUUCAAUAGAAAAAUGAGAAAAGCUGUAUAGAAAACAAUAGGGAGAGAGCACUGAGUGCUUUGAAAGAAAGUUUUGAGUGAUUAUAUUCGUGUCUGUGUGUGUCAAGUGAAAAGAGAAGAGUAGUACUUAUAGUUUUUGAAAAUAGCAGAGAAUAGGGUAGGGACUAUAUAAUUAUAGAAACAAUACCAAAUUGAAUCAAUCAUAGGUCCUAAUUCAAAUA